UACGGCCAAAUUAUGUUCAAACAUCAGUUCCGGUAUGAUCAUCGAAGUUAAGCAACGUCGAGCCUGGUCAGUACCUGUAUGGGUGACUGCUAGGGAAGAGCACCAGAUGC